rnacentral:tRNA from 1 species
GGGCACAUAGCUCAAAAGGUUAGAGCACACGCAUGAUAAGCGUGAGGUCGAUGGUUCAAGUCCAGCUAGGCCCACCA